AUUGAACGCUGGCGGCAUGCUUUACACAUGCAAGUCGAACGGUAACAGGUUAAGCUGACGAGUGGCGAACGGGUGAGUAAUGCAUCGGAACGUGCCCGAUCGUGGGGGAUAACGCAGCGAAAGCUGCGCUAAUACCGCAUACGAUCUGAGGAUGAAAGCGGGGGACCGUAAGGCCUCGCGCGAUCGGAGCGGCCGAUGUCAGAUUAGGUAGUUGGUGGGGUAAAGGCCCACCAAGCCGACGAUCUGUAGCUGGUCUGAGAGGACGACCAGCCACACUGGGACUGAGACACGGCCCAGACUCCUGCGGGAGGCAGCAGUGGGGAAUUUUGGACAAGGGGUGAAAGCCUGCUCCAGCAAUGCCGCGUGCAGGAAGAAGGCCUUCGGGUUGUAAACUGCUUUUGUACGGAGCGAAAAGGUCCUUUCUAAUACAAGGGGCUCAUGACGGUACCGUAAGAAUAAGCACCGGCUAACUACGUGCCAGCCGCCGCCGUAA
rnacentral:rRNA from 1 species